rnacentral:lncRNA from 1 species
GAAAACUAUUGUACUCUUUUGUUUUAGUGGAGAAAUAAUAGAUGUCUGUUCAUGUGUUAAAUGUUAUAGCAAAAAAAAAAAUACACAUAUGGUUAAGUUAAUGAAUAGUUUUUGUUUUAUCAGAAUGGCAACGGACAGAAGUACUUUGCAGAGAUUGACUUCCUAAGCUACUUAAGACAACUUGCACCACUAAGAAAAAAAUGUAGAACCAUUUGGAAAAAUGAAAUUUAGUAGUUCCAAGUUUCAAAGAAAUGUCAACAUUUUAUUCCAUUCAAUAAAGAACAAAACCAAUAG